CGCCUUAUACUCCUACGGGAGGCAGCAGUGGGGAAUUUUGGACAAUGGGGGCAACCCUGAUCCAGCAAUGCCGCGUGAGUGAAGAAGGCCUUCGGGUUGUAAGCUCUUUUGUCAGGGAAGAAACGGUAGUAGCUAAUAUCUAUUACUAAUGACGGUACCUGAAGAAUAAGCACCGGCUAACUACGUGCCAGCAGCCGCGGUAAUACGUAGGGUGCAAGCGUUAAUCGGAAUUACUGGGCGUAAAGCGUGCGCAGGCGGUUGUGUAAGUCAGAUGUGAAAUCCCCGGGCUCAACCUGGGAAUUGCAUUUGAGACUGCAAGGCUAGAGUGUGUCAGAGGGGGGUAGAAUUCCACGUGUAGCAGUGAAAUGCGUAGAUAUGUGGAGGAAUACCGAUGGCGAAGGCAGCCCCCUGGGAUAACACUGACGCUCAUGCACGAAAGCGUGGGGAGCAAACAGGAUUAGAAACCCUUGUAGUCCACGUACCA
rnacentral:rRNA from 1 species